UCUCCAGAUGUUGCUGAACUACAACUCCCAUUAUUUUUUUUAAAUUAAAUAAAAAGCCAGAGAAUCAUGGGAGUUGUAGUUCAUCAACAUCUGGGGG